GGCUCGAUGGCGGACGGUCCGCGUCUGCACUGUAUUGUCGUGCAAGCGAGUACCGCAGAAUUUCCUCGUUCGACUCGGGGUCGAGCCA